rnacentral:rRNA from 1 species
UAGUAAUCGCGGGUCAGCAUGCCGCGGUGAAUACGUUCUCGGGCCUUGUACACACCGCCCGUCACACCAUGGGAGUCGGUAACACCCGAAGUCUGUAGCCUGACGCAAGAGGGCGCAGCCGAAGGUGGGAUUGAUGACUGGGGUGAAGUCGUAACAAGGUACC